UAACGGCCUACCAAGGCUCCGAUCGGUAGCUGGUCUGAGAGGAUGAUCAGCCACACUGGUAUUUAAAACAAUUCCCAGACUCCUACGGGAGGCAACAGUGGGGAAUAUUGGAUAAUGGGCGAAAGCCUGAUCCAGCAAUGCCUCGUGUGUGAAGAAGGUCUUCGGAUUGUAAAGCACUUUCGACGGCGACGAUGAUGACGGUACCCGUAGAAGAAGCCCCGGCUAACUUCGUGCCAGCAGCCGCGGUAAUACGAAGGGGGCUAGCGUUGCUCGGAUUGACUGGGCGUAAAGGGCGCGUAGGCGGCUUGUACAGUCAGACGUGAAAUUCCUGGGCUCAACCUGGGGGCUGCGUUUGAUACGUGCGGGCUUGAGUUCGGAAGGAGGGGUCGUGGUAUUCCCCAGUGUAGAGGUGAUAUUU
rnacentral:rRNA from 1 species